ensembl:lncRNA
UCCCAUCAUAACCCAGCAAGGGCUCUGCCUGCUAUUUAUGCCACACACUCAAGACACCAAUUGUCAAGAAUUUCCCUCCAAACUGUCAUAUGUUACUGAAUGUGUUUGGAGGAAGCAGCCGCGGCGGCGGAGGGCGAGCAGCACGGAGGGAGAGCGCCGCUUUUCAGCGGCUGAGCCAAUUGUCUUCUGGGCAGGAGGGGGCGUGAAGGAGGAAUCUGAACAGGUAGAUUGAGGCACCUUCAGGAUAAAGAAACUGGGGGCAAAUAUUGCAUGUUGUGCUCCCUUUCUACUCAUGAAGUUAUAUCGCGCUGAAAAAUACGCACAAGUCGGGCAUGUUUGUCUUAAUGUUGUAUGUAAGAAUAACUGAUAUUUUUCUUUAUCAUCAGAAAACCAGCUGUUAUUCAAAAUAUAAAACCGUUACUGCCUGCUUGCAAGCUCAACCAUAGAGCUAAAUGUUUAAUUAUACAACAGCUCCAGGACAUGUCUGCCAAGAUGACGUUAUCGUUGUCCUCUUCUUCCAGUGUCGUGCUACAUUAAACAACGUAUUGUGCUCAUUAACAUUUUUUUUUCGUUGCGCAAAGUAGCAGGCCUAAUCAGUUUUCUCUGUGGUGUGAUCGAGAGAAAUCCUGCAAGUGAAAGACAGAAAGGCUCUAAAGUUGACAGCUCGUGCAGCUCAGCCCGUCAGUAGAUCGCGGCCCAGACACCUCGGACGAUUCAUUAGGGAAGUCCAUCUAAUGCAAAUCCACAUUAGGUAAAUAACACCAUACGGCUAAAAGUCUUCUGCAUUAUCAGUCAUUCAUCAUCAAGGAGAUACGUGUUGUGAUGGCAAUUUACAGGGCGGCGGAACUCUUUUUAGAUCUUUAUUUGUGUUAACCAAUUUACGGGAUUAUUUGGAAUUUUUUAUUUAAAACACUUGAUGUUUGAGUGAUAUAUUUUAGCGGUCUUAUUACAUUAAGACAAUGUUAUAUUUGUAUUUAUUAUAAAUAUAAGCAGAAUGAUGACUUUUUCGAUUUAACGUGGAAUCAAGCUCAAUAGCUGCGCCCUUCAAGCAUAAAAAAAGGAAACCCAUUCAUUCGCUAUCAAUAGCCCGCCAGCAUCCUCUUGCAUAUGGGCUGCUUCUCAUGCAAAACGCCCGCCUGUCCCCGUCCAGCUGCCUCCCGGCGUCUGGGGAGCGCCCCUUCAACAGGACAUGUGCUAGUGACGUGAAGAAAGAGAGCUAUAAGGCUUCAAAACCCACAAACUCCAUAUCUUUUCUUCUUUUCCUCUCCACCACCUCUCCACCCCGAUCUUCUCCUCUUCCCCUUUUUCCGUUUCCCUCUUCUCAUCUUCCUCCCCCUUGCCGCUAUUUUUGUCUGAAUGUUUUGGAACGGUGCUUCCAAGCGAAUUCUGUUGAGCAUCUGGUGGUGUUUCCAUCCGGUAGACGAAGAGGGAGAGGCUAUUUAGCUCCAUGACAGGGGCGGGUCAUAGUUCGAAAUACAGGGGGCAUAAGUAAUGGUCAUAUUGUGGACUACAAAACUAAUUUCCUUUUUUUCUACACCUGGAGGAGAUCUAAAAAUAACCCCAAGAACGCCUGCGGUCUGCAGGCCUCACACUCGCUACUAACAAACAAACUUGCUCAGUUAGGAGACACAAUGUCACCACAUUAAUGUGUGAGAGGCACUGGUAAAGGAAGGAGAAGUCGUUGGAAAAAAGACUGCAAGUGAAGAGAUCGGUUCGGAAGAGAUGUUUGGAAUAUGAGAGAGAGAGAUACUAAAAGGCUUUUUCUACUUGUAGUUUCUGGUGGUGGCCAGGCUGUGAAGGUCGAACUGUGUGACAUUACAGCCGGGCCAGUCAGGCCAGGCAGGCUGCCGUGGGGGCAGGCUUGACUCCGGUAAUACAGAGAGAAAUAUCACCCCAGACUCAACUGAGGGUACCGGGGAGGAGGAGGGAGAGGAGGGUACCGGCCUGCUGCUCCGCUCUGCUCUUUGCAGUCAAUUCACAGGAUUUUUUUUUCUCUUUUCAGAAAUCAAUUGAAAAAAAGGCAGUGAUUUUUUUUAUUCAUGAAAUUAAACAUGAUCAUCACAGCUUAUGUAUACGUUUAUUUUAGGAAAUAAACAUUUCAAUUCAUGAAUAAUCUGUAGUUGUUUUUAUCUCUAUUCCUAUAAAUCACACGUAGAAAAUGGGAAAUAAUUCAGAGAUGUAAAAGUGUCCAUAUUUUCCCCCCAAAAACAAUGAAAGGAAAUGAAAAUCUAUGAAACAGGACGUCAUUUUAUUUCAUGUUAUUGCGUUAAGAGGUCCUGGAUAACAUUGUGCCAAAGUAAUGCAAGGUGACACCAAUUACAAUAAAAUAUAAACAUAUGGAUUUUUCAUACGUAAACUGUGCGUUGCAUUCAAAUUGAUCACACGUGUCACAUUUGAUCUUGGCUCAGCCAAACUACAGAAAACGCCAUCAUGUUUACAAAUUGUGUUUGAGUUUGUAGAUUUUGGAGGAGUGGUAGGGUGGAAUGUACCUCUUUAUACCUGUAAAGUCUGUCAACCGUUCUUCCCAGCAUUAUCAGGCCCUUCCGAGGCCGAAAUUUAGACUUGCUUUCUUAAGUUCGUCCACCCACCCCAGUGUGUGGCACUGAGAGGCUCUGGCAUCGAACACAUAGCACGCAGAGUCCCACGAUCCACUGAGCUGUGUCCUCCCCUCCCUUCCCUCCUGUAGAUCGGCAGCCAAGCAUAUGCCAAUGUGAACUCAUCGUGGAUUAUUGAGCCAACUCUACCAACUCUACGCAAACAUUUUCCAGACUUUCCAACUCCGACCCGGCCUGUGCUGAGAGAAAUCCAAUGGGAUUUAUAGAUCAUCUCCCUACAGCUGUCUCUUCUCAGCCAGUAAACCCCCAACUCCAUUCACACACACACACACACACACACACACACACACACACACACACACACACACACACACACACACACACACACACACACACUUCUUUCGUUUAUGAUCUGGCCACCAGGGCUAUUCACAACUACAGCUGCUACUUUCUCCACUGUCUGUAGGUUUUCUCAAGCAGAUCACAUGUUUUGGCGGUGAAUUUGUCCUUUUGGAGUACACAACAUUAACCCUGCCUGAAACUCCGAGGUCACCCAGGAACAAGACCACCACCACCAGAGCAACGCUCACUGCUUUAGGGGGGAAAUUCAAUCCGGGUAAAGUGAGGGCUCUUGUUAUGAAACUAGUAUUAUAACAAUUCUAUUAUCUUGUCCUUAAAUCCAAGUUACAGUGUUGUGUUAUGUUGGAUUAAUUAUUUAGGUCAGCACAUGUUCCACACAU